rnacentral:rRNA from 1 species
UUGCGGUCGUCGGCGGCAGUGCGAUAGCCUUUGCAGCUGGAAACAGUAAGCUGGGACGACUAUAACAAACGCCGGCCUCGUGCAAGUCAGCUGUUACGCUGGCGACACUUUCGAAUUGCGGGGAUCCCCUAAAACCUCUCCACACCAAGCCAGCGAGGGAAACCUCCUGGUGGCCGGUGGGAAACUACCCGGGUAUGGUAAAAGCGGGAGAGGAUGAAGCUGACGGCACACAGGUGCCGGCGGUGGAAAUGGGCAAUCCGCAGCGAAGCCCCUAAGGUUCGCUGGCUGCAUAGGCCAGUAGCCCGGGGAACGUUCACAGACUAAGUGGAAGUGGGUGGAGCGCCAUGCUCUGCUUAAGAUAUAGUCGGGCCCCACGGGAAACCCUGGGGAAAAGCCGUUCCGUAGGUGAACCUGCGGAAGGAUCAUUAUCGUAGGGCGCUCGCGCCCUUCGAGAUAGCACCCUUUGUUUAUGAGUACCUCUCGUUUCCUCGGCAGGCCCGCCUGCCAACGGGGACCCACAACAAACGCAUUGCAGUAAAAGAAGUACACGUCUGAAAAAACAAAACAAACAUUUACAACUUUCAACAACGGAUCUCUUGGUUCUGGCAUCGAUGAAGAACGCAGCGAAAUGCGAUAAGUAGUGUGAAUUGCAGAAUUCAGUGAAUCAUCGAAUCUUUGAACGCACAUUGCGCCCUUUGGUAUUCCGAAGGGCAUGCCUGUUCGAGCGUCAUUUCAACCCUCAAGCCUAGCUUGGUGUUGGGCGUUUGUCGCGCCUCCGCGCGCCUGGACUCGCCUCAAAAGCAUUGGCGGCCGGUUCCCAGCAGGCCACGAAGCGCAGCACAGCAAGCGCUAAAGUGGCUGCGGGUCGGCGCACCAGAAGCCCCCCAUAUCUAAGUUUGACCUCGGAUCCGUAGGGAUACCCGCUGAAAUUAACCAUCUGCGGCGAGAGAAAAAACAACACAA